GAAAGCCACACGUUUUAGGUAGGGGAAGAAUAAGAAAGGUGCAAGCCCUGUUCCAGGAAGCUGGAAGAGCAAGACGUCUUGUGUGGGAGUACAGGAAGCCAGGGAUGCUGGAGUUUGGCUCCACAGAUGUCAAGAAAGAAAGAGCCAGAAGACUGGGGCAUAGUCUCAGAGGAAGAGGGUCCCCAGAAGCCAGGGCGUGAGCUGGAAGCCCCUCCACAGCGUCCCCGCCCAGAAGCCACCAGACGGCUGCUCACAAGACCUCCUGGGAGGCCCUUUCGAUUGCCAGUGGUAGCACCCAGACAUCACGCCUCGUCCCUGCUUCCUGUGUGUGUAUGUGUGUGCCCACUACCAUGGGUGGUACACACAGCCGUGCAACGAUGGGGUCUCAAGAUGAUGUAGGGGAACGUGGCUUGGAGGAAUGAAGGCAUCAAACCACAGUCCCUCUGUGACCUUUACCUGUCACCAUACAAUUGUUGCAGAUAUCUGGAUGGAUUAUUUCUGCUCAUCACUAUGGAAAUAUAACAGUCAUUGGGACUAGACUUCCACUAGAUCUUAUCAUAAAGUACAUAUAGUUACUAUAUUGCAAAGUUGUAUUUUUAA